rnacentral:tRNA from 1 species
GCGCCCGUAGCUCAGUUGGAUAGAGCAUCGGCCUUCUAAGCCGAGGGUCGCCUGUUCGAGCCAGGCCGGGCGCGCCA